rnacentral:rRNA from 1 species
GAUGAACGCUGGCGGCGUGCCUAAUACAUGCAAGUCGAGCGAACGGACGAGAAGCUUGCUUCUCUGAUGUUAGCGGCGGACGGGAGAGUAACACGUGGAUAACCUACCUAUAAGACUGGGAAAACUUCGGGAAACCGGAGCUAAUACCGGAUGAUAUUUUGAACCGCAUGGUUCAAAAGUGAAAGACGGUCUUGCUGUCUCUUAUAGAUGGAUCCGCGCUGCAUUAGCUAGUUGGUAAGGUAACGGCUUACCAAGGCAACGAUGCAUAGCCGACCUGAGAGGGUGAUCGGCCACACUGGAACUGAGACACGGUCCAUGCUCCUACGGGAGGCAGCAGUAGGGAAUCGUCCGCAAUGGGCGAAAGCCUGACGGAGCAACGCCACGUGAGUGAUGAAGGUCUUCGGAUCGUAAAACUCUGUUAUUAGUGAAGAACAUAUGUGUAAGUAACUGUGCACAUCUUGACGGUACCUAAUCAGAAAGCCACGGCUAACUACGUG